rnacentral:rRNA from 1 species
CUUGGUCAUUUAGAGGAAGUAAAAGUCGUAACAAGGUUUCCGUAGGUGAACCUGCGGAAGGAUCAUUAUUGAAGUAAACCUGAUGGGUUGUUUCUGGUUCUCUAGGGAGCAUGUGCUCACCUUGUCAUCUUUAUAUCUCCACCUGUGCACUUUUUGUAGACCUUUCAGGUCUAUGUUGCUUCAUUUACCCCAAUGUAUGUUAAUAGAAUGUUGUGCCUAUAUAAUAUAUACAACUUUCAGCAACGGAUCUCUUGGCUCUCGCAUCGAUGAAGAACGCAGCGAAAUGCGAUAAGUAAUGUGAAUCGCAGAAUUCAGUGAAUCAUCGAAUCUUUGAACGCACCUUGCGCUCCUUGGUAUUCCGAGGAGCAUGCCUGUUUGAGUGUCAUUAAUAUAUCAACCUUCUCUUUUUUGAGUUGUUUGGAUGUGGGGGUUUGCUGGCCUCUUAAAUGAUUCAGCUCCCCUGAAAUGCAUUAGCAGAACAACCUGUUCAUUGGCGUGAUAAUUAUCUAUGCUAUUGAAUGUGAGGGCAGUUCAGCUUUCUAACCGUCCUCGGACAAUUCAUCAUUAAUGUGACCUCAAAUCAGGUAGGACUACCCGCUGAACUUAAGCAUAUCAAUAAGCGGAGGA